rnacentral:lncRNA from 1 species
GAACUAAUAAGAAGGAACCUCCCAGGAGGAUUUUGAAGACCAUCAUUAUCAAAUGCAAAAGUCUUCCUGCUGUAUGAGCAGUUUCUGAAAUGUCUGUGUUUUAUCUUCUCACUCACAGGAUUGGACUGUCGAUGUUCAGCACCAUGGACAGCUCCUGCUCUGUAUCACCUGAUCAGAUGGCACCCUGUUUUGUACCUUAUUCAUGAAAAGUACCCAAUACCUACAGUACCAGGCCUUUGACCUGUCCCAGCUUUUAUCAUGGUUGCCUGGUCACCCCAAAUGAGGAACAUUUCAACUGUUGUGCUCAGAAGAGAAGCUGUGCCGUAUGUGAGAGACACCCAGCAGAGAACAGAAGAACAGCUAGAGCACCUCUUAAAAAGUCACACUUUCAUGUUCUCUUUGAGAGACUUUAAAAGGACAUACCUGACAAACAUUUGCUAUUUUAAUGUUGCUGUAGGGUUAGGUAAGUUGUGGGCAAGUUUUCAGAUAAGGGAAAAAAAAUGUAUUACGUUAACACUUGCAAGUCUUAAUUACAUUUUACAAUGUUAUGAGGUGUUUUUAAUUAUAUAACAAGUGUCAGCAUUAUUCAGCUGUUUUUUAUUCCUCUUUUUGCUUAAACUAUAUUGUAGUACAGUUUAGAAUAAGUACAUAUGUGAAAUUCUUUGUACUAACUAUAAGAUGUAAUAGCUUCUACUGAAGCACAGUAAAGCAUAAGACAUUCCAAAUACUAAAUCACUUUUCACUGAAUUGUUACGCUGAUCAUAUCAUUUGUAUCAUAAACUGAUGUUUUAGUUAGAAAAAUGCAAGUUUGAAGCAUUCUCACUAGUAGUCUCAGAUUUGACCCCAACUUAUGUGACAGCGGUGUUAAAAAAAGCUCUCAGUGCAUAACCUGGUUUGAGGAUCUUUCAUGCCUUGUGUCUUUGGGAUGACCUGCUGUUUUUGGUCCUAUCAGAGUUCUUACAUCUCUUCGGCGUCUCUCUGGCAGCAGAGGACAGAGGAGAAGAUCAAGACGCCUUUGAUGUGUUGCCCACUGCAGGCGAUACCGGGAUAUGGAAUAUGAUUUCUGAAAAAUGUAACAUCUAGAUUAAAAAGUAACAUCUGGUUGAAAUUCACAACAGGGAGUGGUAUGAUUUAUGAGCUGAAUUAUUUUGAAGUGAAGUAAAUAGAUUGUUCAUUAUAUUAUUUUCUUAAGCAAACUAAGCUUUCUUUGACACUUUGAUACAUUUGCUUGGUUUUGUGUAUCAGGGAUAAAAAAAAAAAUCAAAAAGAAUUUCACAGUUUAGGUUUCCAUUCCUCUUUAAAAUUCUGGUUCCUUAAAGGUUCCAAUAAUUAUUAUUUUUAGGGCUUUAAUAGUGAAAUAUUUGGGAAAAGUCUAACUUCUAGCUGUAUGUUUUUACAGAGUAUAAAGAACCAGCUCAAAAGUGUGAUUUGUUCAAAAGUCAAAUGUUUUUUUAAUUCACUAAAAAGAAUGUCCGGGAGUCGAACUACUGGAUCCUUUGUUUGAUUCACUACAAAGAACCAUCUCAAGACAGUCAUUCAAUCUGGAGUCAGGCUGCCCUGUGUUUUUGUUUCACUAAAAAGAAUCGUCUCAAAAGAGGGAUUCAUUCAGGAGUCAAACUACUGUUUGCGCUGUGUGUUUUUGAUUUGCUAAAAACAACAUCUAACUACUGGGGUGCCUCAGGGCUCAGUUCUUGAACCAUUUCUCUUCUCUUGCAUCACUAGGUUCUGUCAUUCAGAAACAUGGCUUUUCAUACCAUUGCUGUGCUGAUGACACUCAACUCUACCUCUCAUUCCAUCCUGAUGAUCCGACGGUAGCUGCUCGCAUCUCAGCUUGUCUAACAGACAUUUCUUGCUGGAUGAAGGACCAUCACCUUCAACUCAACCUUGCCAAUACAGAACUGCUUGUGGUUCCAGCAAACCCAUCGUUCAUCACAAUUUCACCAUCGAGUUAGACACAUCAACCAUAACUCCUUACAAAAACAGACAGAAACCUAAUGAUGUGAGUGAGUGCAGGUGCAACUGUAGGAGAAAUGGCUUAAAUGAGAUGGGAUUGAAUAGGAUCAAGCGGACAAGUAAUAGGAUGAUUAGAAAGGAUGUAUUUGGAGACUUCUGCCUCAGAGAGUGAAGAGAAGGAUGUAAAAGGGUAUAUGUUUGCUGGUUAGAUUGUUACUUGACAGAUUGUUACGUGGAAAAUUGUGCACUGAUGGUUUUAAUUUAUAUGAAGACAUGGCAAAGUUGUCAGUGAUGACACUCAACUCUACCUCUCAUUCCAUCCUGAUGAUCCGACGGUAGCUGCUCGCAUCUCAGCUUGUC